AAUUUUAUAUGCCUGUUACAUUUGUGGUAGGAGUUUAGCUAGAUUUUGUUUGAAAACUACAGCUUACUUAUAAAGUACACACAUUAUUUUAAUCGUACAAAAAUGUGUAAAAUAUCUUACUCACCAUGGAACAUGGGCACCCCAAAGUACAUGAGUUUCUUAAGAAGACAUAUGAAAUCUUCAAGGCUAUAAAGAGGACAGGAAAUGACUCACUUCCCAAUGACUCCAGGUAGAUUAAAUACCCCCCCCCCUUUUUUUUUAAGACAGUGUCUCACUCUGUCAUCCAGGCUGGAGUGCAGUGGCACGAUGUUGGCUCAUUGCAACCUCCGUCUCCUGGGUUCAAGCAAUUCUCCUGCCUCAGCCUCCUCAGUAGCUGGGAUUCCUGGUGCAUGCCACCAUGCCUAGCUAAUUUUUGUAUUUUUAGUAGAGACUGGGUUUCACCAUGUUGGCCAGGCUAGUCUCGAACUCCUGGCCUCAAGUGAGGCCAGGCCUCCCAAAGUGCCUGGGAUUACAGGCGUGAGCCACCAUGCCUGGCCUGAACGUCUUAUUAUUUAAAAGUGUGUUGGGGUGGUGGUGGGGCCUUACUCCUAAGACUUAAAAUCAU
rnacentral:lncRNA from 1 species